rnacentral:rRNA from 1 species
AACGAACGCUGGCGGCGUGCCUAACACAUGCAAGUCGAACGGCAACGCCCUGCCUUUUUGCGCUUCUGGGUUGGCGAAGGGGUGAGUAACACGUGAGUAACGUACCCUUCACUUUGGGGUGACUUAAGGUAACUGAAGUUACUCUCGGAUAGGAUCUCCCGCUGCAUUGUGGGCGUUGGAUCGUUUAGGCGGUUGGGGCUGGACGAGCCGCUUAUGAGCUUGUUGGUUGGGUAGUGGAAUACCAAGGCCUUGACCGGUAGCCGGCCUGAGAGGGUGGCCGGCCACAUUGGGACUGAGAUACGGCCCAGACUCCAACGGGAGGCAACAGUGGGGAAUAUUACACAAUGAGAGGGAGCCUGAUGCAGCAACGCCGCGUGCGGGAUGACGUCCUGCGGGUUGUGAAACGCAUUCGCCUGAGACGAAGCGUGAGUGACGGUAAUGGGAAAAGAAGCACCGGCUAACUACGUG